UACAGAGGGUGCAAGCGUUAAUCGGACUUACUGGGCGUAAAGGGCGCGUAGGCGGAUGCGUAAGUCAGAUGUGAAAGGCCAUGGCUUAACCAUGGAAUGGCAUUUGAGACUGCGCGUCUAGAGUCGAAGAGAGGGAAGCGGAAUUUCCGGUGUAGCGGUGAAAUGCGUAGAUAUCGGAAGGAACACCCGUAGCGAAGGCGGCUGCCUGGAUUCAGACUGACGCUGAGGCGCGAAAGCGUGGGUAGCGAACAGG
rnacentral:rRNA from 1 species